rnacentral:rRNA from 1 species
CCAGACUCCUACGGGAGGCAGCAGUGGGGAAUAUUGGACAAUGGGGGGAACCCUGAUCCAGCGACGCCGCGUGAGUGAAGAAGUAUUUCGGUAUGUAAAGCUCUAUCAGCAGGGAAGAAAGAAAUGACGGUACCUGACUAAGAAGCCCCGGCUAACUACGUGCCAGCAGCCGCGGUAAUACGUAGGGGGCAAGCGUUAUCCGGAUUUACUGGGUGUAAAGGGAGCGCAGACGGCAGUGCAAGUCUGGAGUGAAAGCCCUUGGCUUAACCACGGGACUGCUCUGGAAACUGUGCAGCUAGAGUGCAGGAGAGGCAGGCGGAAUUCCUAGUGUAGCGGUGAAAUGCGUAGAUAUUAGGAGGAACACCGGUGGCGAAGGCGGCCUGCUGGACUGUAACUGACGUUGAGGCUCGAAAGCGUGGGGAGCAAACAGGAUUAGAUACCCCCGUA